rnacentral:lncRNA from 1 species
AUGUAUGUAUAUAUAUAUUUAACCUCAACGGGAGCCGCCUGUCACUGUUCCACCCUCGCCCCGGGCGGCAGCCACGCAAGGGUUAGCCCAGUUUAUCUGGCAAGGCUCAGCCGGGAUGAUAAAGAUGAGUUACGACUUGGAGGCUUCUCUCCAGUGGCCCUCCAGAGCACCAGGCCUUGGCCGAGCUGCCCACAGGGACAUAUUUUCGUACUGCCUCUUCUGCCGUCCCGCCGACUUCCCCUGAGUUGCGUCUCCAGACCCGGGGCGCCCCGCGUUCCAGCCUGGACUCUGGGGUCUCACUGGCGUGGGACCACCGGGAGGGAGUCAAGGCCGCUUUCCAUUCUUCCCUCAGGCCGGCAUCUGCCUUGGGAUCCCACACAACUCUGCUCCCCCUGGUUCAUUCGCCCCAGCUCCCACCCCCACGUCGCUCGCAGGGUCAGCGCGGGGACGAGGUCCGGUCAUUGCCCGGGAUUGACCCGGCCUUGCCCGCGAGCGCCGGGCGGGGCGGGGAGGGAGCGAGCGCGCGCCUCGCGAAAGCCCCGCCCCAUCGCCAGAUGCGGCGCCGAUGGUACUGAGGAUCAUUUUGAAAUGAAAUACUGCAUUCCCGAAUGUUUCCUGAAAGUUACUUCGAUCCUUUUGUGCUUGCCCUAUACAUCUUAUGUCCCUACUCCUUGGGAAUUUUUCUUGAUUAUUAAACCUCAAGGCAGCUUUCCAGGCUUCCAAAGCAUAGUUACUUCUUUCUAAAAAAUAUUUUAUUCAUUUAUCGUUCCAGUUUUAGUAUAUGUGCUGCCAAAGCGAGCACAAGAUUUUGUUUAUCUAUUUGACAGGUAGAGUUACAAUGAGAGGGAGAAACAGAGAGAGAGAUCUUCCAUCCACUGGUUCAUUCUCAAAUGGCCGCAACGGUGGGAGCUGGGCCGAUCCGGAGCCAGGAGCUUCUUCCAGGUCUCCCAAGUGGGCACAGGGGCCCAAGGACUUGGGCCAUCUUCUACUGCUUUCCCAGGCUACAGCAGAGAGCUGGAUAGGAAGAAGAGUAGCCAGAACUAGAACCUGAGCCCAUAUGGGAUGCCAGCACCGCAGGCGGAGGGUUAACCUACUGCGUCACAACGCUGGCUCGGCCUAGUUGCUUCUGAGUUGGCUGAUCCAAUAAACUGCACCUGCCCAUUAGCGAAUGCA